rnacentral:rRNA from 1 species
UACGUAGGGUGCGAGCGUUGUCCGGAAUUACUGGGCGUAAAGCGCUCGUAGGUGGUUUGUCGCGUCGUCUGUGAAAUUCCGGGGCUUAACUCCGGGCGUGCAUUCGAUACGGGGAUAACUUGAGUGCUGUAGGGGAGAGUGGAAUUCCUGGUGUAGCGGUGAAAUGCGUAGAUAUCAGGAGGAACACCGGUGGCGAAGGCGGGUCUCUGGGCAGUAACUGACGCUGAGGCGCGAAAGCAUGGGGAGCGAACAGG